CCGAGCGCGAUCUUGAACCGAUCCCUCCACUCGAUGUAGUCCCCCGAGAACAAGUUCUUGUCCAGGGACUGGUUCUCCACGUACUCGUAGACCAAGAGCUUGUGCUUGCCCUCACAACAGAAACCCCACAUCCUCACCAGGUUCAUGUGAUGUAUCUUCCCAAUUGUACUGACUUCAGCCCAGAAGACCUCCUCCUCAUGGUACACAUCUCCGAGUCUCUUCACGGCCACGACCCUUUGGUCCGCUAAGACACCCUUGUAUACUGAUCCUGACGCUCCUCUCCCUAUCUCUCCCUUGAAGUUCUGGGUCGCACUCUUGAGUUCCUCAUAGCUGAACCUCCUGAACUGGCUCGUUAUUGCACGGUAUCCGUCUUCCAACGUGCUCUGCACAUCACCCUUUCUGAAAAGAAUCCACCAGCCUGAGAGAAAGAUAAGGAUCUCGACCGCCCCAAUCGCAGAUGCGAACCAGUAGAGGUAGGCCCAUCUCACCCUCUUGCUUAUAGUGUCAUACAUGGUCGAUGAACCUACCAUUAAUUGGUCUCUGGCCUUGGAGCAAUCAGGAUUGCUGCCGUUGCGAAUCUGCUCCAAGGAUGCCACCAUGGAGAUGGGCAACUUCAGAUGUAAAGUUCCGGGAAAAGACGGUUGCUUGUAGCCGCUGAAGAGCGAUCUCUUCCCGAAACACAAUCUUUGCGAUUCCCGGUAGCUGAACCCCAAGCAGCUGCAGUCAUCCAAACAGGCCUGCCUGCAGAAAUUGAACGAGGCGUUGUUGUUGUAGAUGGCAUCGAACCCAUAAUAGUCCGUGUUGGGAAGCGCCAAGAACUUCACGUCCUGAGACUUGGAGCAGGUGAAAUUGAACUUGGGCUUGCAACCUUUGUUCCAGUCAGUAGGCUCGCUCAUCUCAUAACCAGGAGGGCAUGUGCACUUGGGCUCAGGCGUGUACACACAAAUCCCAUUCCUCCCACAUAUACCGUGCACAUUGCACAAUCCCGGAAGCGCCUGCCAUGUCACCACCCACGACCUAGACUGCUUGUCCAAGCUGAAGAGCCUCAGGUUUCCGUCCUGGUCCAUUGUCAGCCGCCUUUUGAUCCCCAGGCCUCGGUCGGAAGCAUUGAAUUGAAACUGGUCGCUUGAUUGAAAAUGGCCUGUGUCAUCAAGGACUGCGAUCCGGCUACUGUUGUAAUUUGUUCUCCCGUUCUGGAACACGGUGAAGUCUGGGUUAGGCCAAUAGAGGCUGGAUAUGUCCAGUCCGUCAUACAUCAACCUCAGCACAUUGUCAUUGUCGAAAUAUAGGUUGAAGUAGCCAGAGUAAAAGGCUCCUCCUUUUAGAGAUGACACCAAUUUCUUGUUCUUAGUGAGGAGCUGGUUUGGCAGCAGAGUAUCAGUUGGAUAAUCAAAGCUUUGCCAUAGAAUUGUCCUAUCAGUACUUCUCAGCACAAGAUUACCCGAAUUCAAGAGCUCGAGCGAACGGGCAUCGGUAGAAGUUUUGUUGGUCUGCCAGACCACAGAACCAUCCACAUCGGUCAGGAUCAACGAGCCAGUGCCCUGGAGCGUGAACUUAGAACCUUGGCCAUUCACGGGCUCGUCUCGGUUGGCUGUCCAAACGACGGUCCUGUCCAAGGAGUUGGUGAACCAGAUUGAGAGCCAGUAAGCAUUGCCUCCAAGGCCAUAGAAGCCGCAUGUGAAGGUCUUAUCUGGGGAUGUUAGAGUGUCUGAGUCAUGUUCUUCAACUGAUAGAGAAGAGUCUCUAUGCAAAACGUUCGAGUUUGCAAACGUAAAACAUGUGGAAAAGAUCAUAAGUGUGAAGAGAGAAAAGCUUGAAAUAGUGAUGGUUUUGUGGUUCAUCACUGGAGUUUUAGGAAACAAAUGGACAGAUAGAAUGAAGAGCACGAUUACAAACCCAAAUAUAUAGAAAUGUCGAUGACUUGCCCGAACUGAACGUCUUUCUUAGAUUUAGAAAAAUGAUAUCUGUGACAACUUGGGGUGCAUACUUUUCUUUUGAUAUUUGAUAUAAUAUAAUAUGAACGGCAUUGCGGAGUCAAAUAUAUCCCGCGAAAGGCCAAAUAAGAAGAGAUAAGGAGAAAUUUUGGUCCACACGAUUUAUUUUGAUUGACCGUGGGGCAACAUCUGUGAACGAAGAAAAUCAUCAUCGCGACAUGGCUUCUGGUCAAAUAUACCGCACUGUUGGAAUAAUUUCCUUGCUUACAAUUUUUUUUUUUCAAAGGCCUCAAAUAUUUCACAUCAGCUUAUAUCUAGCGGUAUGCGGGAGGCAUUGCGGAGUCAAAUAUAUCCCGCGAAAGGCCAAAUAAGAAGAGAUAAGGAGAAAUUUUGGUCCACACGAUUUAUUUUGAUUGACCGUGGGGCAACAUCUGUGAACGAAGAAAAUCAUCAUCGUGACAUGGCUUCUGGUCAAAUAUACCGCACUGUUGGAAUAAUUUCCUUGCUUACAAUUUUCUUUUUUCAAAGGCCUCAAAUAUUUCACAUCAGCUUACAUCUAGCGGUAUGCGGGAGAUUUUGUGGAACCUAUGGACCAUGUACAACCGCAUGAUCGGUAGGUUUCAUAGUACGUAUUAGAGUUUAUAAGGGAGGUUUGAGGUUUCAAAAUUCUGGAACAGUUGAGUAUAAGUAGGUGCCAGGCUUUAUGGUCAUAACGCCCUUUACCCACCUCGUGCCCUGCACCCUAUACCCUACGCAGAGUAUUUAUAGGAAGGUAUUCAUUUACCCUGUAUAAUUAUUCUUAAAUUAAAUAUAUGUCUUCUUAACAUUCUCCUUUUCUUUUCAAAAUUUUCACAUUUAUAAAUGUGAAAAUCCUAGUUGAUAAGCAAUUUUCAAUCCCAUUAAAAAGAUAAAUCUCCAACUUCAUUUCAUCCUUCCUCUCUCUAUGACAAGCUUGGCUACGUCUGUCGAAUACUUUUAGUUCAUGCUUUUAAGUACAGUCGGAUACUCUUUAAUGAAAACUCGUAGAUUUAAAUGAUGGGAGGAAAUUGAUUCAAUUUUUUUUAUUGUGUUUUUGAUAUUUUUAUCCUUUGAGAAUUAUACUAAUACUAAAAAGGAACACGUAUUGUAUUAGAUUAUUUGUAUGUUUUGUGUUAAAUGCACGGUAUGAAUAACACCACCAUGGCAAUCUUUUUUUUUCUCUCUCUCUCUCUUUAUGAAAAAGGACAGGUAAUUGAGGGCUCCCAAAAACCUGCGGAAUAGGCAAGUUUCAGGAUAAUUUCAAGGAUAGGUUCGAGAUUUCGAAAACCCAAAAGUAGUACCUAUAGAGUAUGUUCAAGAGUUGGGUGACUGCCCUCCCAACUCUUGAACUUGGACAGCCCUAUUUAUAUAUUUACCUCUUCAUCUAUUUGCUUAAACAGUAAAAAAGAAAAAUAAAAAUAAAAAGAAAAGGAAAAAGUACUUGAGUCUAUUUUGGAAAGGGGUAUUGUUUAAGGAGUCUUGGGUUACUUUUUAAGGUUAAUACUACAAAAAAUCUCAAACUGGUACAUAUAUUACAAAUUUACCAUAAACUAAUUUUUUGACCACUAAAAACUCCAAACUAGUACACAUGUGAUAAAUUUUUCCCAAAUGACCACAAAAAAUUUGAACUAAUAUAUUUGUGAUAAAUUUAUCUCAAAUUAAUUUUUUGACUGCUAAAAACCCUAAAUGAGUACAUCUGUGAUAAAUAUACUCCUCACACAACUAGUACACCGGUGACAAAUGGAGAGUAAAAUCUCAAACUGGUACACCAGUCAACUGUGACGUGUCAUCUAGCUUAGCAAUUUGACAGUAAAAUUUAACUGAAACUAAUAGAGAGCAAAUUUGUUAUAAGUGUACUGAUUUGGGAUAAAUUUGUUAAAAGCAUAUCAAUUUAGAGUUUUUUGUGGUUAAAACAUUAAUCUGGGUUAAAAUUUGUUACAGAUAUAUCAAUUUGAGGUUUUUGUUGUUGUAUUAAACCUAAUUUUUAAGUACACAUGAACGAUUUCUUAAUUAGUGCCCCAGGGGCACUUUUUAACGGGUCCUUUUCAAACUAUUCAAAUAUUUAUUUUCAUGUCAAGUCACAAGCAGGGGAGUCUUGUUUUGCUAGUCAUUGCCUAUUCACUUGCAAGACAAUAUUUCCCGUCCUCGUUUUCAAAAUAUUUAGUUUGGGAUAACUUUGUCAAAGGUAUAUCGGUUUGGAGUUUUUUGUGUUAAAAAAUCUAACUUUGGGUAAAUUUGUCAUAAAUGUACCAAUUUAUGGUAUUUUCAUGAUAUUAACCCUACUUUUUAAGUAUACCAAAAUAGAGAGUAUUUUGAUUUCCAAUAUGCUGAUUACAUGUAACUUGAGAAAUAAAGUACAUCAAAUUGCACACUUGCUUUUAAAGAUUUUUUAAUUAGUGCCGUAGGGGCGCUUUUUAACGAAUCCUUUUCAAACUAUUCAAAUAUUUAUUUUCAUGUCACGUGGUGGGUAGGGGAGUCUUGUUUUGCUAGUCGUUGCUUAUUCACUUGUAAAACAAUAUUUCCCGUCCUUGUUUUUCCAUGGCAUACUUGAGAUAUAGCAAAAUUUCCUAGUCUCAACUAUAUUGGUUGAAAACUGAAAUUAGAAUACGACAGACAUCUUCAACUCACCAACUCCUCCACAAAACAACAAUACUAAAGGUGCAUUUGAUAACCAUUUUAUUUUUGGGAACAUUUUUUUACUUAGAAUUGAUUUUUUUUAUUCUAUUUUCGGGAACAAUUUCUAUGUGUUUGAAGGUGCUUGGUAACUGUCCAAAAUUUUUAUUCUUGGGAUAAAAAUGUGUUUGUUAGGAUUUUUAUUUUUUUAAUACUUUUAUUUUAUAUAUAUAUAUAUAUAUUUGUUUUUCCUUCUAUUCUUCUUCCUCCUUGUUUGUGGCCGGUCACCAACCACGGUGGUGAUUGGCGACGGGCUAGGCAAGAUUUGGUGAGCUCACUUGACCACCGAUGAGGCUAUCGAGGCCAAGCCUUGCCGGUGGUUAGGCGAGCCUCCAGUGAGCUCACCGGGCCUUGCCUAGCUAGUCACUAGCCAUUGCCGGCAACGGCGGCAGUGACGGUUGGCGGUGGCCGGUGACCAAUUAGGACUAGGAGGAAGAAGAAGAGAGAAUGAGAAAAGAAGAAAAGAAAGAGUUGGGCUUGAUUCUUGAAAUUGUUCCUAAAAAUAAUAAGCUACUUUUUUUAUUUAUUUAAAUUUCUUGAUUCUGUUCUAAGUCUAUAACCGGGAACAUAAAAAUGGAUUGUUCUCGAGAAUAAAAAAUUUACCAAACGGAUUUCUGUCCUUUAUUUGUUCUAGGAAACAAAAGAAUAAAAUCAGUUGUUCCCUGGAGUGUUUUCAAAUAGGCCAUAAGUGCUCUCUAGAGAAAUUAGUAACCAGUUUCCGCAAUGAAUCACGAAGCACGUUGAGGAUUAGAACUAAAGUCAAAACAAUUAACAAAAUUCAAUGUGAAAUGAUGUUCUUAGGGUCAGUCAAUUUUUAUGUUGACCUAAAGGGGUCAAUUGGGUCUGAUUGGUUGAGAAAAAUCUAGAUUACUUAUGCUAGAGCAUUUCUAGAAGUCAUAGUUCUACAAGAAAGUUAUCGAUUUAGUGGACAAAUCGUUGAUCACAUUAUUAUCAAUUGACAAUUUAGUUCUCGAUCGACAAGACAAUUAUUGGUUCCGAGUCUACUUUGAUUACUCCUCUUUUGGAGGGUGUCUACAUUCCUUGAAGGUCAUCAACUCAGUAACAUUGGAAUAAGCAAAUCUUGGAUACAUGUACCAACAACAUUUAUUUCUUAAAUGUUGUUUAAACUUUCUUGAGUUUGUAUUUAAUUGUUUUUGUUUUCUAGUAACACUAGUUAUCUUUCCUAUGAAUCUUUUUGUCUUUCCAAAGAAUCUUAGUAAUCACUCAUGCUUGGGGGAUUGUUCUAAGUUCAUCUAUAUAAGCAUGCCAUGAUGAAUAAGAAAGUAGACUUGUUUUGAUUGAUAACUUAUUUAGCAUUUGGCUUGAGUACAAGAAGGAUUUCUUAUUUUGUUCUCAUAUCUUAGGUGGAUUCUUAAGAAUGGUGAGCGAUCUAUCUAAUUUUGUUAUCACUCAUGUUACCUCUCACUUCUUUACACUUUUUUUUGUGUGAAUUGCAGAGCCAAGUCACAAUCGCAAGUCAUCAAAAUGGCCAUUAGGGGUGUGCAAAAGAAUCAGGAACCACCCAAAUCGCUCGGAACCAAAUCAAACCAAAUUGGAACGGGUGAUUCCCAUAGGGCUAGGUCCAGUUUCUGAUUCCAAUUCAAUGGAAUCAGUGAGUAUCAAUCUAGUCCCUGGUUCUAGGUGUGAAACUGCCUAUCCACCCACCUAGACCAUAUAUAUAUAACUAUUCGCACUUAAUUGAUCCAUUUUGCUCUGAUCUCGAGUUGUUUUAGGAAUGUGAUAAAAGCUCAUCAAUCUUGCUCGCCCAUAUAAUUAAGAUCUUGGUUUCCAUAAAUUGAACUUUCCAAGUAUAUUUCGUCUUUCAAGAGAUCUAAUUAUCCGAAUUGAUUAUAAUAAGAAUAAUUGAUCAUAAGAUGCUAUAUCCAGCCAUAAGAUCUUCUACAAACCAUAUGAACUGAAUCCUUGAAGAUAAACUUGCAUCUGGAUAAGUCUUUCACUCGUUGGUCUGGAAACUAUCAGUAAGGUCAGACUUUGAGAUUAAAGUCUAGCGGUCUUUAGACUUUGACAGUAGUGUUUGGAGUUCUUUAGACUAUAACACUUAAGUCUGCAAGUCUUCAGGCUAGAUUUUAGGAAACGUUUUGUCAGCUUCAAAACAAUUAAGGAGUUUUCUCUAACAAAAGUAUUUUUUUUUUCACUUCCCUACUUAAAUAUAAACAUAUUAACUUGUCAAUAUUUAUAUAUCAUUAAAAUUUCAGGCGUUUAAAAUUCAAAAUAAAAAGUCACAAUACACGGACUGCAAAAUUGGAUAUAAGUGAUGAAUAGACUGAAAAUGAGGUAUUAAACAUGGUGCGCUGGUCAAAGGAGAAAGCAACGACUGAUCUUUGUCAUGAUUCGUACAUAUGGCCGGCUGCUGCUGAAAUGUUUGAAAUUUAGUGAUUGCGAGGUUAAACAAAUGAAGAAAGUUAAUCAUCCCAUUUGACCAUUUAUCCGAAUUAAACAAUAGAUUUGGAUUGUUCUAAUAAUAAUUUAAUACAGAGUCGGAGGAGACAUUAUUAUGCACCGAUGUAUAUUGACCUCUUGUCAACAUAUUGCUUUGACUUCUUGACUUGAAUUGAGUUUCUUAGAAGCAAAUUUUAAUUUAACCAUCUUUGAGACAUCAACUAAGCCAACUUUUGCUUCAACGGACAAAUUUCUCAUAGGCUCACCAUGAAUAAUCUCCUUCUCAUUUUCUGAUAAAAACAGAACGAUAUUAAAUUUCUUCCAUAACAGAAAGAUGACACAAUCUUUUACACCUAACAAGAAGGAGAAAAAUUGAAAAAUCGAUCUUAAUCUUCAUUAUCUGACUUUGGCAAUUUCCUUUCGCCAUCAAUUUCUAGCAGUUGAUGCACUAUUGAAUCCAUGGUUGGUCUCUUGUUCCGGUCCUCCUCCAAACAUGACACACCAAUCUCAACUAGCAUUCUUGCCUGCUUCCUGCUAUAUUUCCCUUUCAAUCUCUUAUCUACCAAAUCCUCUAUCCCCAAAUCCUCGCCACAUUGAAUCCUCCUCUUAAUCUCCCGGAUGAAUACUGUCAGCUCGGCUUCCUGCUCCUCGUUCUCCUCUCUCUUCACGACCCAAUUUGAGAGUCGAAUCCCCUUCACUAUCUCCAGGACCAUCACCCCGUAACUGUACACAUCGACCUUUGCGGUGAUCGUGAGGUUCAGGGCCCACUCAGGUGCCAUGUAGCCCCUCGUGCCCCUUAUGCGCGAGAACUGCGAAUUCGCGCCAUCCCUCCGGAGCAGUUUCGCCAGUCCAAAGUCCGCGAUCUUGGGCUCGAAUGUCUUAUCCAAGAGGAUAUUCUCGGGCUUCACGUCGCAGUGGAUGACCCACUCGAGGCACUCGUGGUGCAGGUAGGCCAGCCCUUUGGCGGUGCCGAGCGCGAUCUUGAACCGAUCCCUCCACUCGAUGUAGUCCCCCGAGAACAAGUUCUUGUCCAGGGACUGAUUCUCCACGUACUCGUAGACCAAGAGCUUGUGCUUGCCCUCACAACAGAAACCCCACAUCCUCACCAGGUUCAUGUGAUGUAUCUUCCCAAUUGUACUGACUUCAGCCCAGAAGACCUCCUCCUCAUGGUACACAUCUCCGAGUCUCUUCACGGCCACGACCCUUUGGUCCGCUAAGACACCCUUGUAUACUGAUCCUGACGCUCCUCUCCCUAUCUCUCCCAUGAAGUUCUGGGUCGCACUCUUGAGUUCCUCAUAGCUGAACCUCCUGAACUGGCUCCUUAUUGCACGGUAUCCGUCUUCCAACGUGCUCUGCACAUCACGCUUUCUGAAAAGAAUCCACCAGCCUGAGAAAAAGAUAAGGAUCUCGACCGCCCC
rnacentral:lncRNA from 1 species